GAUGAAGAACGUAGCGAAAUGCGAUAAGUAAUGUGAAUUGCAGAAUUCAGUGAAUCAUCGAAUCUUUGAACGCACAUUGCGCCCAUUAGUAUUCUAGUGGGCAUGCCUGUUCGAGCGUCAUUAAGUCCACUUAAGCCCUGCUUAGUGUUGGGAGACUGCUCCAGCGGUGCUACCCUGUAGCUACCCUGCAGCUCCUCAAAGACAGCGGCGGAGUUGUGGUAUCCUCUGAGCUUAGUAACUUGUUCUAGCUUUCGAGUACACCACUUCCCCUGCCGUAAAACCCUUAAUUUUUAAUGGUUGACCUCGGAUCAGGUAGGAAUACCCGCUGAACUUAAGCAUAUCAAAGCGGAGGA
rnacentral:misc_RNA from 1 species